ACGCUCGACACCUACGGAGGCAGCAGUGGGGAAUAUUGCACAAUGGGGGAAACCCUGAUGCAGCGACGCCGCGUGAGCGAAGAAGUAUUUCGGUAUGUAAAGCUCUAUCAGCAGGGAAGAACUGACGGUACCUGACUAAGAAGCACCGGCUAAAUACGUGCCAGCAGCCGCGGUAAUCUGAGCGGGCUGGCAAGGC
rnacentral:rRNA from 1 species